rnacentral:rRNA from 1 species
GACGAACCGUGCGAACGUUGUUCGGAAUCACUGGCUUAAAGGGCGCGUAGGCGGCUUGCCAAGUCGGGGGUGAAAUACUUCAGCUUAACUGGAGAAGUGCCUUCGAUACUGGCAGGCUUGAGGGAGGUAGGGGUCUGCGGAACUUCUGGUGGAGCGGUGAAAUGCGUUGAUAUCAGAAGGAACGCCGGUGGCGAAAGCGGCGGACUGGACCUCUUCUGACGCUGAGGCGCGAAAGCUAGGGGAGCAAACGGAU